rnacentral:rRNA from 1 species
AUAUAUGUUGGUUCAAGCCUGUAGUCGUGCCUGGUAGGUAAAUCCGCCGGGCUUAGAUGAGGGGUGAUAACGAGGCGGCUUGCCGCCGAAGUGAGUGAUACCCUGCUUCCAGGAAAAGCCACUAAGCUUCAGCUACACACGACCGUACCGCAAACCGACACUGGUGCGCGAGAUGAGUAUUCUAAGGCGCUUGAGAGAACUCAGGAGAAGGAACUCGGCAAAUUGACACCGUAACUUCGGAAGAAGGUGUGCCUUUAGUAGGUGAAGUCCCUGCGGAUGGAGCCCAAUGAGGUUGCAAAAAAUCGGUGGCUGCGACUGUUUAAUAAAAACACAGCACUCUGCAAACACGAAAGUGGACGUAUAGGGUGUGACGCCUGCCCGGUGCUGGAAGAUUAAAUGAUGGGGUGCAAGCUCUUGAUUGAAGUCCCAGUAAACGGCGGCCGUAACUAUAACGGUCCUAAGGUAGCGAAAUUCCUUGUCGGGUAAGUUCCGACCUGCACGAAUGGCGUAACGAUGGCCACACUGUCUCCUCCUGAGACUCAGCGAAGUUGAAAUGUUUGUGAUGAUGCAAUCUCCCCGCGGAAAGACGGAAAGACCCCAUGAACCUUUACUGUAGCUUUGUAUUGGACUUUGAACGGAUCUGUGUAGGAUAGGUGGGAGGCUUUGAAGCAGGGUCGCUAGAUCUUGUGGAGCCAACGUUGAAAUACCACCCUGGUGCGUUUGAGGUUCUAACCUAGGUCCAUUAUCUGGAUCGGGGACAGUGCAUGGUAGGCAGUUUGACUGGGGCGGUCUCCUCCCAAAGCGUAACGGAGGAGUUCGAAGGUACGCUAGUUACGGUCGGACAUCGUGACGAUAGUGCAAUGGCAUAAGCGUGCUUAACUGCGAGACUGACAAGUCGAGCAGAUGCGAAAGCAGGACAUAGUGAUCCGGUGGUUCUGUAUGGAAGGGCCAUCGCUCAACGGAUAAAAGGUACUCUGGGGAUAACAGGCUGAUACCGCCCAAGAGUUCAUAUCGACGGCGGUGUUUGGCACCUCGAUGUCGGCUCAUCUCAUCCUGGGGCUGUAGCCGGUCCCAAGGGUAUGGCUGUUCGCCAUUUAAAGAGGUACGUGAGCUGGGUUUAAAACGUCGUGAGACAGUUUGGUCCCUAUCUUCCGUGGGCGCUGCAGAUUUGAGAAAGCCUGCUCCUAGUACGAGAGGACCGGAGUGGACGCACCUCUGGUGUAUCGGUUGUCACGCCAGUGGCAUUGCCGAGUAGCUAAGUGCGGAAGAGAUAACCGCUGAAAGCAUCUAAGCGGGAAACUCGUUUCAAGAUGAGAUCUGCCGGGGCCUUGAGCCCCCUAAAGAGUCGUUCAAGACCAGGACGUUGAUAGGUCAGGUGUGGAAGCGCAGUAAUGCGUUAAGCUAACUGAUACUAAUUGCUCGUGCGGCUUGACC